AUUGAACGCUGGCGGCAGGCCUAACACAUGCAAGUCGAACGAGUGGCAGACGGGAGAGUAAUGUAUGGGAAACUGCCAGAUGGAGGGGGAUAACUACUGGAAACGGUAGAUAAUAAAGCAUACCAUCAGAUGUGCACAACGGUGAGUAAGUUGUUGGUGGGGUAACGGCUCACAAAGGCGACGAUCCCUAGCUGGUCUGAGAGGAUGACCAGCCACACUGGAACGUAGCCACGGUUCAGACUCCUACGGGAGGAAGAAGUGGGGAAUAGUGCACCAUGGGCGCAAGCCUGAUGCAUCCAUGCCGCGUGUAUGAAGAAGGCCUUCGGGUUGUAAAGUACUUUCAGCGGGGAGGCGUUACCCGCAGAAGAAGCACCGGCUAACUCCGUGCCAGCAGCCGCGGUAAUUC
rnacentral:rRNA from 1 species